ACAAUGAUUUCCCUAGUAACGGCGAGUGAAGAGGAAAGAGCUCAAAGUUGGAACCUGUUUGGCUUAGCUAAACCGGAUUGUAAACUGUAGAAGUGUUUUCCAGACACGCCUGGUAAAAAAGUCCUUUGGAACAGGGCAUCAUAGAGGGUGAGAAUCCCGUCUUUGGCCAGAGCUGUUGUCUUUUGUGAUACAUUUUCAAAGAGUCAGGUUGUUUGGGAGUGCAGCCUAAAUUGGGUGGUAAAUCUCACCUAAAGCUAAAUAUUUGCGAGAGACCGAUAGCGAACAAGUACCGUGAGGGAAAGAUGAAAAGAACUUUGAAAAGAGAGUUAAACAGUAUGUGAAAUUGUUAAAAGGGAACCGUUUGGAGCCAGACUGGCUUGAUCGUAAUCAAUCUAAGCUUCGGCUUGGAUGCACUUGCGGUCUUUGCCUGCCAACGACAAUUUUUUUUGGAGGAAAAAACUAGGUGAAAUGUGGCCCCUCGGGGUGUUAUAGUCUCUUAGAAAAUACUCUGAAUUGGAUUGAGGAACGCAGUGAAUGCCUUUAGGGAAGAUUGCUGGGCGCUUUCGCUGAUAGGUGUUAGAAUUUCUGCCUUGGGUGGUGCUAAUAGUUAAAGGAGAAACUCGCUUAGUAUAUUUUUUAUUCGCUUAGGUUGUUGGCUUAAUGACUCUAAUGAC
rnacentral:rRNA from 1 species